CAUCAGUAGGCGGCAGGGAUGCGCCUUCGAGGGAGGAAAGAGGAAGCAGGCAUUUUUCCGGGAAAAGAAAUGGAUUAGUUUCGUAAACCUGCGGUUUAUUAGUGAAGGAUAGAGCUGGCAUCCUUUGUAAGACCAUUUCUGACAUAAAAAUGCUCACCUUAAACUUCAUUUAAUAAUCCCCAAGCGGAGACGCCUGAAUUCAGCGUUUUGACUCUUUCCAUGUUGCACCUCACCUCAGGACUGGCCGUCCAGUUUCCUAGUUGUUGUAACCCGUUGUUUGCGAAGAACAUUUUUCUCACGAAUACGAAUUUAAACACUCUUGGGUGGUUCUUCGGCGUGUUGUAAUCGUAGUUAAAGGCACUUUUUAAAAUGGGUCGGUGUUUAUAUUUUACCACACUUAUACUUUCAGUUUCAUAUCAGUUGAUACCGUUGUGUCACUCUUUCGAAUGGGACGAGCAGUCUAGUCCACUCCAAAAUGCGCGGUCCAUUUUCACAAGUUUGAGUAGACCUGUCUCUCAAGUUUCUACAAAGUGGUGUAAAAUGGCUGUCAGAUGCCGUAGCAUCCGCCCUUAACAUGGUCAUCCGGUAUGUUACGGAAAUCUUGGAAUCAGCAGGAAUUGACGUCAAGCUACCUUUCCAAGAAGUUACUCUGGAGGGAGUGAUUUUUGUCGCUCAGUGGGCCCUUCUGUUUGUUGUGGCCUACUGGAUAAUAGCCUUCAUCCGGCGUUUGGUUGUUGGAGCUGUAAGGCAGGUUCUGUGGCUGCUAAAGGUCACCUUUGCCAUGGGCAUGUUUGGAUUGAUUCUCAGCGACGCUGGAGCCUCUGCAGAAGCCACAGCUAUAAGACUAGCGGGCCUGGCGUGUGUUUGUGUCCUGUUAGGAAUAGGUACAUCUGCAAAGCCAGAUACACACCUUGAGGACAAAAUCAAGAUGUUGGAGAGACGACUAAGAGAGAUGGAGAAAAGCAAAAUGGAAUGAUGGGGAAAUCCUCAUCAGACUCGAAAUAUUUAGUUUUCUUUUCUCUUUGCUACAGUUUUAAAUCCAUGGAACCCAGCAUGCUAUUGUGACUUGAAACUCUGCAAAGAAACCACGUUGUUUGUCUAAACUGGGAGGGUGCUUCAAUAUUCCAAGUGUUAGUUAAAAGAUUCCUAAUUAAGUCAAAUUUAUCUUAGGGUCCCAUAGCACAACUGGUAGAUCUGGCAUCUGAGGGGUUUAAUUGUUAACAAAAGGACUGAAUCAAAUGUCCAAACACCGUUUCUGGGGUCUUGAGGUACAGAGAACAGCAAAAUGUAUUAACACUGCAUUUAAAUAAUCAUGUUUUUGUUGCUUAUUACA